GAGUUUGAUCCUGGCUCAGAACGAACGCUGGCGGCGUGGAUAAGACAUGCAAGUUGAGCGAUGAACGGACAAUAGCAAUAUUUGAAGGGAUUAGCAGCGAACGGGUGAGUAACACGUGGGAAUCUGCCCUAGGGACUGGGAUAGCCUGACGAAAGUCAGGGUAAUACCGGAUAAGAUCUUCGGAUUAAAGGCGCAAGCCGCUCUAGGAUGAGCCCGCGUUCCAUCAGCUAGUUGGUAGGGUAAAAGCCUACCAAGGCGACGACGGAUAGCUGGUCUGAGAGGACGGUCAGCCACAAUGGAACUGAGACACGGUCCAUACACCUACGGGUGGCAGCAGUCGAGAAUCAUUCACAAUGGGCGAAAGCCUGAUGGUGCGACGCCGCGUGGGGGAUGAAGGCCUUAGGGUCGUAAACCCCUGUCGGUUGUGAGUAAAGCCCGGUUCGAAUCGGGUCUGAUAUUAGCAACAAAGGAAGGGGCGGCUAACUCCGUGCCAGCAGCCGCGGUAAUACGGAGGCCCCAAGCGUUGUUCGGAUUUACUGGGCGUAAAGCGUGCGUAGGCGGCAAGAUAAGUUUGGCGUGAAAUCCCCGGGCCCAACCCGGAAAUUGCGCUGGAAACUAUCUAGCUAGAGGGUGUGGAGUGGCGAAAGGCGAUACUCUGGACACAUUCUGACGCUGAGGCACGAAGGCUAGGGGAGCGAAGAGGAUUAGAUACCUUCGUAGUCCUAGCAGUAAACGGUGUGCACUUGCUGUGGGACGGUUCGACCCGUUCCGUGGCGGAGCUAACGCGUUAAGUGCACCGCCUGGGGAGUACGGCCGCAAGGUAAAACUCAAAGAAAUUGACGGGGGCCUGCACAAGCGGUGGAGCAUGUGGCUUAAUUCGAUGCAACGCGAAGAACCUUACCUGGGCUUGACAUGUUUGUCAUAGUCCCGUGAAAGCGGGACGUCAGUUCGGCUGGACAAUCACAGGUGCUGCAUGGCUGUCGUCAGCUCGUGUCGUGAGAUGUUGGUUUAAGUACCGCAACGAGCGCAACCCCUAUGUCCUGUUGCCACGGAGAACACGUUUCUCCAGCACUCUGGACAGACUGCCUCAUUUAAUGAGGAGGAAGGUGGGGAUGACGUCAAGUCAGUAUGGCCCUUACGCCCAGGGCUGCACACGUGCUACAAUGCCUAGUACAAUGGGAAGCUAAAUCGCGAGAUGGAGCAAAUCCCCAAAACUAGGCUCAGUUCGGAUUGGAGUCUGCAACUCGACUCCAUGAAGUUGGAAUCGCUAGUAACGGCGCAUCAGCUACGGCGCCGUGAAUACGUUCCCAGGCCUUGUACACACCGCCCGUCACAUCAUGAAAGCCGGGAGCACCCGAAGCCUGCGAUUACGUGGUCGAAGGUAAGCUUGGUAAUUGGGAUGAAGUCGUAACAAGGUAGCCGUAGGGGAACCUGCGGCUGGAUCACCUCCUUUCU
rnacentral:rRNA from 1 species